rnacentral:rRNA from 1 species
GACGAACGCUGGCGGCGUGCUUAACACAUGCAAGUCGAACGGAAAGGCCCUGCUUUUGUGGGGUGCUCGAGUGGCGAACGGGUGAGUAACACGUGAGUAACCUGCCCUUGACUUUGGGAUAACUUCAGGAAACUGGGGCUAAUACCGGAUAGGAGCUCCUGCUGCAUGGUGGGGGUUGGAAAGUUUCGGCGGUUGGGGAUGGACUCGCGGCUUAUCAGCUUGUUGGUGGGGUAGUGGCUUACCAAGGCUUUGACGGGUAGCCGGCCUGAGCGGGUGACCGGACACAUUGGGCCUGCGAUAGGGCGCAGUAUCCUACGGGAGGCAGCAGUGGGGAAUAUUGCACAAUGGGCGGAAGCCUGAUGCAGCAACGCCGCGUGCGGGAUGACGGGCUUCGGGUUGUAAACCGCUUUCGCCUGUGACGAAGCGUGAGUGACGGUAAUGGGUAAAGAAGCAACGGCUAACUACGUG